CACACACACUUGCGGAGCAACAAGCCUCUUUGUGGGGGGGAAAAAAAAAACCUUUAUCUGCGUUUCGGUUCUUGCGGAGGCGCUGCCUUUUAAGGAAAGAUGAGCAGCAUGUAUAAGGAAGAGCAGGACGACUGGAUAACGGUCUGUCUCAAGUACCUCCUUUUCAUAUUCAACUUCCUUUUCUGGAUGGGUGGUGGGGUGGUGAUGGGUGUCGGGAUCUGGACGCUGGUCGACAAAGGAGACUACCUGAGUCUUCUGGCCUCCAGUACAUUCGCUGUGUCCGCCUACAUUCUGAUUCUGGCGGGGGGACUGGUCAUGGUCACUGGCUUCCUGGGCUGCUUUGCUGUCAUUCGAGAGCAGAGGAGCUGUCUGUCCACGUACUUCUCGUGUCUGCUUCUGAUCUUUCUUAUUGAGUUGGUGGCUGGUGUUCUGGCCUAUGUGUAUUACCAAACGCUGAGUGAAGAGCUGAAACAGCACCUUAGUAAGACGAUGACAGAGAACUACGCUCAGCCUGGGAAAGACAGCAUCACUCAGUCUGUGGACAGACUACAGCAGGAUUUCAAAUGCUGUGGGAGCAACAACUCUUAUGAUUGGACAAACAGUGUGUAUAUCAAAUCCCCGGAGGCGGAGACAAGGUUGGUCCCUGAUAGCUGCUGUAAGACCAUGACUCCUCAGUGCGGGAAGAGGGACCACCCAUCAAACAUUUACAAAGUGGAGGGUGGCUGUAUAACUAAGCUGGAGCAGUUCCUGGCAGAUCACUUGCUCAUCAUUGGGGCUGUGGGGAUAGGAGUGGCCUGUUUGCAGCUAGCAGGAGCAGUGCUGACUGCCUGCUUUAUUUAUCUGCUCUAUAAAGAAGAGGAAGAGGACUUCUCUGACGUUUGAUUGGCUAGUACCACUUUUUGACUCCUGAACAGAUGAGGACAAGGUUGCCUGUAUUUGUUCAUAUGUCUGUAUGUGUGGAAUGGUGUUCACAUGUUGCCUGCACAGACGAAUUAAACUGGACCCAUACUGACCAUUCAACAUCUUUAUACCUUUCCUGAAACUUCAACACACACAAACGUGACCUUGCUACUGUGCCCACCUUUAACUGCAUGAGGCUUUACUACCGUAAACAAUAACUGUAAGGGCUUUCUUUUAGCAUUUGCCAUUUUUCCAAAGGGGUAUCGGGACAGCCAAAUAUCCAGGCAAGUGCUAUAUAGUCUUUACUGAGACUUUACUGAGAUUUUUGGUAUUACCUCCUUAUGAUGCUAAUGCUCUUUAUAAAGUUGUGGCAUAAUGACCUAGCAAUGUAGAUAUAAAGGAAACAUUCAGAAAAUGCCUUGAAGAUACCUGCAGUCAUGCAGAUAUAAAAGAAGCAUUCAGUAAAGGCCUUUUAUUUUUUACCUUUGUGUAAAUUAUAAUGUAUAUCCACUGAAUGUUUUUUUUUUUUUUUUUUUUUGACCAACCAUGUAUUUGCUUUGAUUUGGUUAUGUUAAAUGUACUCUAUGUAAUGUUCUGCUACUGUAGAUAUCAGACAGGUGUUGGAACCUGCUUAUAGGGACUAAGAAGUACACUGGACCAAUCAAUCAAAAUAUCAUUCAUGAAUAUAUUAUCCCCGCCAAAAAAAAAAAAAAAAAGAAGAAGAAGAAGAAGAAGAAGAAGAAGAAGAAGAAGAAAAAAAGUAUAUAAUAAAUUAAUGACCAGGUCUUGUUGUAGUGCAAAAGGUGACCAUAUUCUGGAAUAUUGUGGAAAAAUGCUACACACCAUCACAGCUUUCCUACAUGUCCAAGAAAGUCCACAGUCCCUUAACUUUUGGCUUAACAGGUAACAUGUUUCAAUGGAUUUAUAUUUUAAAGUUAUAUUAGACACAUAGAAUAUGAUAAAUAUCUUUUGUCUUAAAUCAGUGGAUCAGUUCUGUAGUCUUUCCUGUUCUUGAAUAUCAUAAGAGUUUUAUUUGCAAAUUCUAAUUAAUGUAGUGCAAAUUCUGCCAACUUGUUAUCACACUUUAUGUCUGAUUUCUGAUAUUAAAUUUAGAUGUGCUGCAUCUUAAUGAUAUUUAGUUGCAGUGCAAAUUUACCUUUAUAUCCCUUUGAGAACUGAUGGAAAUAUACUGAUGGACUACAGACUCACGAAAGUGCUUUUUAAAGGCCUAACAAUUUUCUCAGCCAGGAUGACUGACUAUUAUUCUUACAGAUUAGAGCUUUCAGUGAACUCCCGUUUAGGGUCAUGUCAUGAAUUUUUUUCAUUGACUGAAGGAAAAAAUUAGCACUAUUGCAUUGUCUAACAAAUCACAGCUGCAAACUCUUCAUGUAGUUGCCACAGCAACAUCAGCCUUGUUGAAAUUCAUUGUCAUUUGGAGGAAAAGUGGCUGUAAUCAUUUUGCUUCAUGCUGACGACAGAUUAUUCUUAUAUUUAAAAUGUCAGUAAAAGCAUUGUGUGCAAGAAUCACUCAACUGAGCUGCAAGAAAGUCUGUUGGUUGUGACUUAUAUGCAUUUUCCCAUUCCAUUAGUUAUGAUAAAAUAGCUGUUAUAUGCAGUCUUUUAUUAGAGCACAGUUACAUAUUUGUAGAUUGAAUGUCUAUGUAUUUUCAUAAUGUUUAAUCACCAGUCGCUCUGAUUAAAAUGGAAGUUCACUUCAUAAAUUCUUUGCCUUAAGACUAUUGCAUCCUUUUGAGGGCAGUAGAAGAAUUCGCUUCAAAAUGUCACUUUGUUUGAUGUAUGUUUGUAGAAACUGUGUGUCUUAAUAAACUUGAAUUUUCUUGA